rnacentral:ncRNA from 2 species
AAUUCCAUAAACCUAUUAAGUGCAUCUGCGUUGACCGCACAACGCCGGUGAAAAGGGAAUCAGGUGAGAAUCCUGAGCGAUCCGGUCACUGUAUUUGGGGAGCAAUGCUUCAAUAAUCCAUUGUAUUUUGAUACGAGAAGGAGAAGCAAAGCAAUGAACCAUGAGUCAGGAAACCUGCUUAAUAGCAGUAAGGUGA